GUUUACACUUCUUUUCUGGGGGUGGGGAUUUGAUCUGUUUUGAAUAAUGGCACUUCAGUAAGAGGAAACUACCAGAGGACCCACAACACACAAAGCUGUGCUCCCUCCUAACCAAAAGGGACAACAGCCCAUCCAAAGGGCUGGACCUUGGACCUCCUGAGACGAUGAUGCGCCAGUGCCGACAAGAGUCUGCCCUCUAAGAUCAUCAAGUUUUAAACUCCAUGGUCAAUCCUUUUAAAACAAAAGCUGGUGAAAAAGAAAAUACACAACCCCAAACUAGAGUGAGGCUGCUGAAGGAGAAGGCUGCUACUUCCAAAAAGUGUGGUGUCUUCACCACCUCAAUACACAGGAUGUUUCCAGCUCUUGCACUGGUACUCCACAGAAAGCCACCCCACACUGCCAGCCCCCAGAGGACUUGGGGUGAAGGAGUAAGAGGUUCCUGCAGUUAAGGAAUCAUUCUGCCAACCUCCCAACACCCCAGUUAGAGGAUGCUGAUCAAGUAAGAAUAAAUUACCAUGAUGAAGAAUGAUUUCCCUUUCUAAGGGUGGUCUUUGUAGCACAGGUUUCCCACAAUAUUUUUUUUUCUAGCAUUUCUGGUAAUGCCUGCCUGGGAUUUAUUUGCUGUGGGUAGAGACCACAGUGAUUAUUGUCUGUUGCUCAUAUAAUUUCUGUUUAAUGAUGAGCAACUUUCUGCUGUGGGAUGUGUCACUUAUACAAUCACAUGGGGGACAAUGGAUAGGACAUAGGAAAUGGCUCAGAGAAAGCAAGACUGGUCUGGUGGGAGGUUUCCCUGCCCAUGGCAGGGGGGUUGGGACUAGAUGAUAUUUAUGGUCCCUUCCAACCCAAACCAUUCUGUGAUGCUAUGAAGACCAUCCAAUCAUCAUGUUCUCAUAUGGCAAAAAGUGACCCCCUGAGUUCCCAGCACCUUUUAAGAGCUGUUGCUUGUAAGAUACUACAGAAAGCUGGUAAGAAAGCCCAUGGUCACCAACUCCAAAAUGUAAGGUUCUGAAAAUUUCUGUCUCCAAAAACUAAGCAAAUGGUCCCAACCCAAAGGGGACCAUAGGUAAAAAAAAAUGAGAGUGAAUCCAUCUCCUUGAACCUGGGGAGAUGAGGAGAGCUCAGGAACUGGACCUGAGGAAAAGACAGGCUUGUAACACUGCUACAGCACCUCUGGAAAUGGUCCUCUGAACAGAAGGACACACCAAGUACUUUUGCAAAAUGGAAUCCUGUCACAUUAUUAUCCAAACCAAUAACAAAGUGAAGUAUAAUGCCCUGGGCCUGAGCAGCAUCAACCUGACAGCUCUGAUGUCUUCCUGAGAGCAAUGUAUCACCACACUGCUCAUAGCUCAUGUGGUGUAAAGCUGCUAACCACUAACAGAAGCUAGAUGAGGUCAUUUCCAAACAGGAUACAACCCUGCAAUAAUAGGCUGUAUUUAUAGCAAAUCCAGUGUUGCAGCACAAGUUCCCUCCGAGACCAUCAAAGCAACAUUCAGCAGGUUGAGCUGCUGGCUGUGCAGCACCAGGGCCUGUAGGAAAGCUGUUCAGAGCAGCAGGAGACAGAUUACAAGGUACCUCCCUCUGCCAGGACCUGCAGCUUCACGUUUCACCCUCUGAAACACGAGUGCAACGCAGUCACACACACAAAGAAUCACAGUAUUGCUCAUCUCCAACAAUCUCCAAGCAUUUUCCAACCCAGCUGCUGCACUUCUGGUGCAGGUGAGAAUUUUCCUGCCGCUGGGCUUUGAAGCUGGAGCUCAAAUACAACCUUAGGCCAGCACAAGUGAGCAGCUCCAGGGCUCCCAGAACAGGCUGCAGUGGUGGGCACAAGGCAGUGGCUCCAUGGCACCAGCCCACACUUGGAAUAUACAAGAAAAAGAGACCCAGCCUGGGGUCUGGAGGUGACAGAGGUAGGAAGAACAUAAACAGAAUGAGGAUUUUAGCACAUUUAUCAUCUUGGUGUUUCAGAAUGAGUGUACCUCCUACAGACUGAAAAUCAGUGUAGGCUUACUGGAAAAGCAAAAGCCAGGCUGAUUGAAAGAACUGAUAUUGUAGGGCAAGAACAUCCCAGGAAAAGGAAAAAUAAUCUUAUUUUAAGCAAAAUAUUCUAAAUUAUACCAAAAAAAUCUAAAUUGUGUCCUAAAACAUUCCAGGAAUUUUGUAGCACCCCACAAGUCUCCUCAAAGAUGUUUAUAGUAAAUGGCUUUGAAUGUUACGACAGCCUUAGUAUUUCUGUGGAGGUUUACACACCAGUUUGGAUGUAUCUGUCUGGUGAAAGACCAGCCAUGGUCUCAGAGGCACGUGGGGUACAGGAGUUCUGAUCUUAUUAACCAUAAAGUCAUUUAAUUAACCCAAGUGCAGCAGCUGCAGUGAGAGGAGCCAAGACACAAGCCCCAGGACUGAGUCAGGCAGGCCAACGGCUGAAUACUGUCUCCAUUUGUACCUUUUCCCACCCCAAAUUGUCAGGCAAACAUUCAGAAAGGUUUUGCUUUCAUCCCAGUGCAGAAGGACAUUUUUCUUUAACAUCAAAAAAGCAAUUUCCUCCUCAUUUUCACUUGAAUUGGUCCUUCCACGCAUCACCUGAAAAAUGCAACAAGAAAAUAGUUUUCUUCCUCUCCAGAGAAGAAAAGCCACCCUGUUUGCAACAUGAAGACUAAAAAAAUCUUUCCCAAGUCCUAUUUGGACUUGUGACAGCUGCUUUGCUCUGUGUAUGGAGAUAUGUAUCUUUCAGCUUCAGUAUUUAAUGCCACCUGCUCAACCUUUAUCAACACAUCAGUAAUUACUUUGAAUUACAGUCCAAGAGCUGGUCAGCCCUACAGGUACUACACACAGGGAGCACAGGAAAGCUAGAAAUGAUGAAGAGAAAAACACUUGCCAGCUGAACUUGAAAAAGGAGAAGUGGAGACAGCCAAGGGCAACCCUAAAAGCCAGAGAUGGAGAAAAAAAUUCUGAAGCUGUCCUAGUUGCCCUGAUGUAGCCAAGGUGUGACAGAGUGCCCUGCAUGAGCUCAAAAAUACAUUCUGUAUUUCUCUCUUACCUAAUGUACUUCUCUAUUGUACUUCUUUAACGUAGUUAUCUAAAGUUUUAAUUUUUUUUGUUAUUUAUGGUGAAAUUGGAGAUGGCAGGAUACGGUUUUGAAAGUCCCCUGGCUUCCUGUGUCAUGAUGGUGAUGAUCAAGAUACAGGUGUGAAAUUAAACCAGAUGAAAGAAAAUAAAAUUAUCAAGUGAAACUCCA